GGCAGGGUGGCCUAGCGGCUAGGGUAUUAGAUUGGGACUCUGGAGGUUCUAUUCCCAGCUUUGCCA
rnacentral:tRNA from 1 species